AAAAUUCCUAACAUAUGCCUGAAAUUACCAAAUCUCCAGUUAAUAUAGAGGGUGGUUUAGAAAACAAGGGGAAACAGGAAAAUAGGCAUGAAAAAUUGUUAAUAAUCCAUGCUUAAAGAAGUAAAAAAAUCCAGUUAAUACACAUACAUUGAAAAACCAAACGACAUUUACUGAUGUAAAUGCAAAAGCCCUGCUUCAUGAUGGCCCUCUCCAGAAGGUCAGCAUACGAAUUUCAUAUCUUAUGUUCCUUUUUCUAAGCCCCAAAAUUUGAAGGGAGUGUUUUAGAUAAGAUUGGAUGGUGAAAUAAAAUGCAGAAAACAAACCAGCUAGGACAAUCCAAAGAGAACUUGACAUGGGAUGAGGUAGCAAGAUUACAAUUGGAAGCAGGGACUAUACAGAUUUGCAAGUUUUACAUAAAUUUUCUAUUACACGAACCAGCUUGUUACAUAAAUAGUCAAGAGCAGGAAACUUGCACAAUCAUGUCAUGUUCUCAGCAAAUUUUUGUACUUUAACGUACUACAACAAUUGAAAAACUAAUAUUAUAGAACUUGUUUCAAUGAUGUUUUCCAAGCAUAUAUAAAGCCAGUAUUUUCUAGAGUUCAUUAGUUUUGAAGUCAAGUACCAUGCUUCGUUUUGGGGGUGAAGGGGAAGGAAAUGGGUUUCGUUGUGGGGGCGGG
rnacentral:misc_RNA from 1 species